CCCUUAGAUGUUCUGGGCCGCACGCGCGCUACACUGACGAUGGCAACGAGUUUUUCCUUCGCCGAAAGGUGUGGGUAAUCUUUUGAAACAUCGUCGUGCUGGGGAUAGAUCAUUGCAAUUUUUGAUCUUGAACGAGGAAUUCCUAGUAAGCGCGAGUCAUCAGCUCGCGUUGAUUACGUCCCUGCCCUUUGUACACACCGCUCGUCGCUACUACCGAUUGAAUGGUUUAGUGAGGACUCCUGAUUGGCGCCGCCGCCCCGGCAACGGAGCAGCGGACUGCCGAAAAGUUGUUCAAACUUGAUCAUUUAGAGGAAGUAAAAGUCGUAACA
rnacentral:rRNA from 1 species